CUCUCUAUGUGUUUUCACAGAAACCCAGGCCCAGGGAGAACAUUUACCCCUCUUCCUACAUUUCAGAGCUGAAAAUGUCGGAAUUGUCAUGGUAAUGCCCAUAGUUGAUGUGACAGAUACUGAGAAGGAAAAACACGCUUGCCACAUGUGAAAACUGCCUGGUUGGUUCUGCUCUGAGUGCCUCUCUGGAGGGCACAUUGAUGGAUUUGACAAUCACUUAAUUCUACUAGAGCCUGACCUUCAGUCUGGAAGUCAGAUAUACGCAGCAGAGACGUAGAUGAUAGCCGCAGGCUGCUGCUGGUGGGAAGCUGACAGAGUCCACUUUAAAGGACUGCCUUCAGUACCAUCUACAUUCUUCUACCUGGGACUGUGUGUGGCCAUGCGGACAGGCUCUCACCUUCACUAAACAAUUCAACUGCUGAAUUCCAACUAUCACGACAACCAUUUACACCAGUAAAAUGAACCAGAGAAGUCAGUGUAUCAGAACCUAAGACGGGAAAACUCUAUUGGAUUUCCUUUUACCUUAACUCUUAGACUCUCUCCUCAUGGCUGCAAUUCCUCCGUGGUUCCGGCUGAUUUGAACCUCUCUCCAUCUCUGUGCUCCUUUCCCUGGCUGGUGGAAGUUCUGCCCCAUUCCCUUUUCUGCCCAGCCAUUGGGUGAUCGUCAUUUAUUGACAAGGCAGAGAAUAAAUGAUUUUGGUGGCUCCUGGUCUUCUUAAAAUUUAGUGGAAAAAGUGGGGACUCUACCGAACCUUAAAACAGACCCAGCUUUCCUCCUUCCUGUGGAUGCUCUCCACCUCUCACUGGAGCCUCCAUGUCAGCCACCUAUUCAUGGAGGCACUCUCCACCUGAGAACCCCCUGCUACACCUGCCUGGGAUUCAGAAGCAAGAAAUACACACUGGAAAAAAAAGAUGGCAUUGUCAAAAACUGGUGCUGCUCAAACUGGAUGGCUGCAUAAUAGAAAAAUGCAAAUAGAUUCAUGCUUAUCACUUGCGCAAGCUCAACUCCAAGUGGAUCAGAGAUCUCAAAACAAGAUAUGCUGAGCCUGAUAGAAGAAAAGUGGGGAAUAGUUUUGAAUCAUCGGCACAGAAUUACAUGUGUCUGUGUUGUCUCCCCAGAGGCAGAGACGGAGAUUGACUGAACCACCAUUCAGAUGGUGCUAUUAAAUUCCAGGAGGUACUUCUGGUGGUGAGUUCUCCAUCACCACUCAGCAUUCCUAGCCAUCAGUCACUGGUGAACGAGGAGAGAGAGGGUGGGGAGAGGGGACCUGACAUACCACAUUCUGUUCAGCUCAUGACUUAGAGCUGAACAGCAGCGUGUGCUGGUACAGGGGCAGAUGAUCUGAUUCUGGCACUGGGAAUCUGUGUUUUAGGCAUCACUUUUAUAAUUUAAGUAAAACUGAGGAUUCAAAAAC
rnacentral:lncRNA from 1 species